rnacentral:rRNA from 1 species
AGUGAACGCUGGCGGUAGGCCUAACACAUGCAAGUCGAACGGCAGCACAGGAGAGCUUGCUCUCUGGGUGGCGAGUGGCGGACGGGUGAGGAAUACAUCGGAAUCUACUCUGUCGUGGGGGAUAACGUAGGGAAACUUACGCUAAUACCGCAUACGACCUACGGGUGAAAGCAGGGGACCUUCGGGCCUUGCGCGAUUGAAUGGGCCGAUGUCGGAUUAGCUAGUUGGCGGGGUAAAGGCCCAACAAGGCGACGAUCCGUAGCUGGUCGUGAGAGGAUGAUCAGCCACACUGGAACUGAGACACGGUCCAGACUCCUACGGGAGGCAGCAGUGGGGAAUAUUGGACAAUGGGCGCAAGCCUGAUCCAGCCAUACCGCGUGGGUGAAGAAGGCCUUCGGGUUGUAAAGCCCUUUUGUUGGGAAAGAAAUCCAGCUGGCUAAUACCCGGUUGGGAUGACGGUACCCAAAGAAUAAGCACCGGCUAACUUCGUGCCAGCAGCCGCCGUAA